UUUUUUCUUUUUUUUUUAAAUAAUCCUUUCCCCUGAAGUUCCCGUCGUGGUGCAGCGGAAACGAAUCUGACUAGGAACCAUGAGGUUGCGGGUUUGAUCCCUGGCUUCAAUCAGUGGGAUAGGGAUCCGGCAUUGCUAUGAGCUGUGGUGUAGCUCACAGAUAUGUGGCUCAGAUCCCUUGUUGCUGUCGCUGUGGCGUAGGCCAGAAGCUGUAGCUAUGAUUGGGCCCCUGGCCUGGGAACCUACAUAUGCUGCAGAUGCAGCCCUAAAAAGACAAAAAAAAAAAAUAAUAAUAAUAAUAAUAAAUAAGAAUAAAAAAAAUAAUCCUUUCCCAUCAAUUACAUGUGCAGAAUUCCUUUAGCAUAGAAUAACUAAUGCACAUCUACUCUCAGAAAACAGGGCUGGACCAGUCUGCAUUUAAAAUGGGCACACAAGGUACAAAUGACCUAAUGAAAUUUAGGAGCCUGAAUUCGCUGUUGCAUAAUGAGAAAGAACAGGAGGAAGGAUAAAGUACUAUAUUCAGGACUAACCCAAACACAAGUGACCAAGCAGUACAGAAACACUAAACAGUGACAUAAUGUCAGCAAUAUAGCCCUUAACACUGCUGCUAUGACCAGCUUUACCUCCCCUCUAUUGCUCAUAUGUCCCUUUCUUCUCAUGGUCACUGAUGUGAGUGAACAAUGACUCUGACAGUGACCCUCAAUCCCUUGUCAUGAGUCCUCCCUAACAGGCUUGGGAAUCUGUUUCUUGUGACAUUAAAAAUGAGACAACACCUCAAACACAAAUGAAAAGGACAAGGGGAGGGGUCAGGCCCACUGGACCGAGACCCGGGUACAUGAUGGCCAACCCUACAAAUGACACAAUCUUACUAAAGACUGGUCCUGACCUCGUGCAUUCAUGGAAAUACUGGCCUUUCAUCUCGAGGGACAGAGAAGCACCUUGGCCCACCUGCAACUCAAAUGCAUGAUGUUCUGUGCACCAACCGCUUAAGUACCAAUUACAUAUCAAAGAGCGGAUUUUGGAAAAAAAAGUUCCCUGGGAAGCUUCCCUUCCUCAAAGCUUUUCAAGGGUCCCAGUGUCCAGGCAUUGCAAUUAUUUAAUGAUUUAAUAAAGCAGGCAGUUCUUCUCCACUGGGGUCCUACCUGGAAUAGAUGCUGUUAUCUUUGGGAUUUUUUGUCUUUAUACAUCAGUAAAUUGCCAAACACCCAAGUUUUUCCCGGGUUGCCUGGACAAGACACAAAUGUCAUCUUCAUUCUAUUUCUUCAUCAAUCAAUCCUGUCCACAUCUGCAGUCCGGUGAGGCAGAACCACUAUGGCAGAGCUGAAAGCAAGAGAGGCUGCCCCAUUUAGGAGAUGAGCAUCCAGGCAACGUCUGUGGAUAAUCAGCACCAAAGGCAGAACUUGGGCUCACAUCCGUGUGCAGAAAGAGCCAUCAGCAAAGUCAAGAAUCAGCUCCUGUCUGUGCUUCUACCAAGAAGGGUAAUUAUCUAAAAGCAUGAGUCAAUGCCUGGGUUUGUCACUUCAGGGGAGGGGGAAUUUGCAACAUGAGACAAAAGCUCAUAAACUCUGGAGGCAGACCAAGCUUAGAGAAACUUCUAGUAUUUUCAUUUUAUACUAAGUGAAGUAAGUCAGAAAGAGAAAAGAUAAAUACCAUAUGGUAUCACUUAUAUCUGGAAUCUAAUAUAUGGCAGAAAUGAACUUACCUAUAGCAAAGAAACAAACUCAUGGACUUGGAGAAUAGACUUGUGGUUGUCAAGGGGGAGGGGGAGGGAGUGAGAUGGACUGGGAGUUUGGGGUUAGUAGAUACAAACUAUGGUGUUUGGAGUGGAUAAGUAAUGAGAUCCUGCUCUAUAGCACAGAGAACUAUAUCUAAUCACUCAUGAUGGAACAUGAUGGAGGAUAAUGUGAGAAAAAGAAUAUAUAUAUAUAUAUGUAUAUAUAAAACUGGGUCACUUUGCUGUACAGAAAUUGACAGAACAUUGUAAAUCAACUAUAAUUUAAAAAUUUAAAAAAUAAAACGAAGAUGAUAGUAUCCCUCUGAUAGUCCUGAAUGGAAAAAAAAAAUAAGUCAGAAGAUAUAUUAAAAAUGCAUCAUUCAGCAUCUGACCUGAUAAGAUGCAAAAAGCAGUAGUACUUACUAUUUUGAUAAAUAGUGCCUAAAAUGUCCCUUCUUAAAAACACAAGCCUAUGAUAGCUCAUCCAAAGUUGUGAAAUUAAACCAACUUAUACUGACUAGGGAAUAAUGAAUAAUACAGGGAUCAUGAAAAGGAGCAUGGGGUGGAUGACCCCUGUCUUCAAAUGUCCCAUGUAAUCCUCAAAAGGGAGUGACCUCUGACAAGAUCUGUGCCCAGGUACCCCUGUGAAAGGUUGUUAUAUGACAUCUCCUGAAGCUGUUCUUAACCCAAGUUUAGCCUUCACGAAAACACACACACACACACACACACACACACACACACACACACACACACACACUUCUAUUAGCAGAAAGUUUUUGGGGUAGAUAUUUAAAAUGAAAUAAAGGUGAAGUGGAAUGGUGCUUAGGGCAGAGCAAGGGGACAGAUGUACUUCAACCUGGAGAUGAUUCGGGAAGUGAGACAUCUAGAGGAGGGGAAUGAGGUAGGAUGUAGAAAGAAGGAGCCAUGCUUAUAUCAAAUAUUUCAGUCCCUCAUCUGAGUGUUGGGUCACUUUGGUCACCAGUGUCAUGAAGCGUCUUGGGGGAAUUCAGUCACUCAGGACCACUUGUCAAGCCUUUCCUAGCUAUUCAGCCUCCAAAUUCAAGUCCAAGGGAGAAAGCAGGGUGGAGAGAGAUACAGCUGGGCAGGGGACACACUGCUUCAUUCCAGGAGGACCAGUCUAAUCAGAGCCUAUGUAACAGUAUCCCCCAGGGAGUGGGUCUGGCAGGCUAUACAAAAUUAUAAGCAGAGGGCCGUAAAUUGUCAGUGACACUGCAAGGCACCUAUGCACUGCACCAAUGCACUGCCGGACACUAACAAAUACAUCUGAACAAUUAGCACCCCAAGCUUCAGGGCUGCUGUGUGACUUUGAACCUCCAGGAAAUAAUCUCAGGAUCCACCCAUCAUAGGGUAUGGCCUCCUCAAGGGAGUUCUAUUCUAACCAUGUCCUUAUCUCUUUGUCACUAAGUCACAGAUUUUUACUCUUCUAAUUGGACCUAGGGUAAAAUCACAGACCCAUCAAGAAAGAACAACUAUAAUUACCCCAAGGAGCUGUUUGGCUUAAACCCUGCAAUCUAGGCAUUUUCCACGAAAUACACAGUCCCAUUAGCUGAAGCCACUGAAAGCCAUCAUAAAGGUGGAAUAUCUCAACACUUACCUGAUAAAAAAUUAUUCAACUUUUCGAAGGACUUAUAUUGGGAAUGAUCAAUUAAAAAGCAUGAUAGAAAAAAUUAAUUAUACAGGAAAAGGUUAAUGACACAUUUCCUGAAUUGAGAUCAAGGAUGAGUCUUAGAAUCUAAUUAGCGUUGUUUGUUUCUGUUAUAGCUAUUAUUUAAAAACAACAGGAAUCCGCCAUCAGAUAAACAUUAAGAGUAUAUUCAAAGGAAAUUGAAAUUGAUUUUGUCCAAACUUGCACUAGGAUCAACAAAUUUCAUUUAUGUAGGAUCCCAUUGCUUUGACUCAUGGCUGGAUGGGAUACAAAGUAACUAUUUUAAUAAAAUCUAAUUCUGCAGGGGAAAAAAAUCAUCAUCCUAGAUUUAUGCCUCAGUUAGUGGGAGAAUAAGUCUGACAGAACCAUUACAUGUUAUUCUAUAUACAUAGCUGUUUUCAUUGAAGUUACUUCAAGAUGUUUUCCUUCCACAGCAAUGGAGAAUUUUUUUUCAAAAAAAUUAAAAAUAGGGAAUUGCUGCUAUAAAACAUAUACAUCGCAAAGGACUCAUAUUCUGCAUUUUUCUUAAACCACUUACCAUAAAACCUUCAUUUUUUAUGGCCAAGUCGGUACUGAUUUCAUGAUUUGCAGGCAGAAACAACUGAUUUCAUAGCAUCAGUCAGUCAUAAAUCUUAAGAACCUAAAUUCUGAAUCCCAAAGCCAGGGCCCAAAGACACAAAUGAGAUUUCUCCCCACAAAUCGUGACUCGUGUUUGCAGCUUUGAUUAAAGGGAACAAAGUUGAAAAUGGAAACUCUGUCCUCUUUUCCACUGUUUAGGAAAACAUUUACGAUUUUUUUUCCAAAUGUAAGCCUUGACUAGGGUGCAGCUCUGGGAGUGGACCUGCUCAAAGGCUGUCAUCUGGGGACAGUGACACCUAUUCCAAAGAAAGGAGCCCUCCCCUGUCAGGUCACUCUUGGAGGCCAACAUUUAUGUUAUGGUGUGGCUCCCUUUAAGAAAGAUACUGGAGUUCCCAUCAUGUCACAGUGGAAACGAAUCCGACUAGGAACCAUGAGGUUGUGGGUUCGAUCCCUGGCCUCGCUCAGUGGGUUAAGGAUCUGGGGUUGCCGUGAGCUGUGGUGUAGGUUGCAGACUCGGCUCGGAUCGUGCGUUGCUGUGGCUGGCAGCUGUAGCUCCGAUGUGACCCCUACCCUGGGAACUUCCAUAUGCUGCAAGUGCAGCCCUAAAAAGCAAAAAAAAAAAAAAAA
rnacentral:lncRNA from 1 species